rnacentral:rRNA from 1 species
CCAAAAACAUCACCUCUAGCAUUACUAGUAUUAGAGGCACUGCCUGCCCAGUGACACGAGUUAAACGGCCGCGGUAUUCUGACCGUGCAAAGGUAGCAUAAUCAUUUGUUCUAUAAAUAAGGACUUGUAUGAAUGGCCACACGAGGGUUCUACUGUCUCUUACUUCCAAUCGGUGAAAUUGACCUUCCCGUGAAGAGGCGGGAAUAUAACAAUAAGACGAGAAGACCCUAUGGAGCUUUAAUUAACUAACCCAAUAGAAUUUAUUCAAUUAACCAAUAUGGGACAAAGUAAUUCUACAGUGGGACAGCAAUUUAGGUUGGGGCGACCUCGGAGUAUAGCACAACCCCCGAGUGAUAUAAAUCUAGACAUACCUGUCAAAACGAACUAUCAUAAAUUGAUCCAAAAAUUUUUGAUCAACGGAACAAGUUACCCUAGGGAUAACAGCGCAAUCCUAUUCAAGAGUUCAUAUCGACAAUAGGGUUUACGACCUCGAUGUUGGAUCAGGACAUCCCAAUGGUGCAGCAGCUAUUAAAGGUUCGUUUGUUCAACGAUUAAAGUCCUACGUGAUCUGAGUUCAGACCGGAGUAAUCCAGGUCGGUUUCUAUCUAUUAACCAGUCUCUCCCAGUACGAAAGGACAAGAGAGACAAGGCCCACUUCGACGAAGCGCCUUAGGACUAAUAUAUGACAUAAUCUUAAUAUAACCAGUUCAACUACACUAUUCAACCCGAGAACAGGGUUU